rnacentral:rRNA from 1 species
GGACCCGCACAAGCGGUGGAGCAUGUGGUUUAAUUCGAUGCAACGCGAAGAACCUUACCAAGAAUUGACAUGCUGCGAACGUUUACGAAAGUAAAAGUCUAUUAACUUAGUUAAUAGCGCAGACACAGGUGGUGCAUGGUUGUCGUCAGCUCGUGCCGUGAGGUGUUAGGUUAAGUCCUGCAACGAGCGCAACCCUUGUCUUUAGUUAUAUUCUAGAGAGACUGCCGGUGAUAAACCGGAGGAAGGUGAGGAUGACGUCAAAUCAGCAUGCCCCUUACAUCUUGGGCGACUCACGUGCUACAAUGGUCGGGACAAAGAGAUGCUACCCUGCGAAGGCAAGCUAACCUCAAAAACCCGAUCUCAGUUCGGAUUGCAGGCUGCAACUCGCCUACGUGAAGGCGGAAUCGCUAGUAAUCGCAGGUC